rnacentral:rRNA from 1 species
CGCAGCGAGAGCGAGUCUGAAUAGGGCGUAUGAAGUUGCAGGUAUUAGACCCGAAACCGGGUGACCUAUCCAUGAGCAGGCUGAAGCGGUGGUAAGACACCGUGGAGGGCCGCACCCACGUCUGUUGAAAAAGCCGGGGAUGACUUGUGGAUAGCGGAGAAAUUCCAAUCGAACUCGGAGAUAGCUGGUUCUCCCCGAAAUAGCUUUAGGGCUAGCGUUAUUUUAGAUUACCGGAGGUAAAGCACUGAAUGGUCUAGGGGCCGCGAGGUUACCAAAGCCUAUCAAACUCUGAAUGCCGGAUAAUUGAUGAAUAGCAGUCAGACUGUGUGAGAUAAGUCUCAUAGUCAAAAGGGAAACAGCCCAGAUCUACAGCUAAGGUCCCAAAGUCAGGUUAAGUGGAAAACGAUGUGAAGAUACGCAGACAACCAGGAUGUUGGCUCAGAAGCAGCCACUCAUUCAAAGAGUGCGUAAUAGCUCACUGGUCGAGUGGUUUUGCGCAGAAAAUGUAACGGGGCUAAGUGUUCAACCGAAGCUUAGGCAUUGCAGCAAUGCAUUGGGUAGGGGAGCGUCGUAUGCGGGGCGAAGUCAGAGCGGAAGCACUGGUGGACUGCAUACGAGUGAGAAUGCCGGAAUAAGUAGCGAGAAUUAUGUGAGAAUCAUAAUGGCCGAAAAUCUAAGGUUUCUUGGGGAAGGUUCGUCCGCCCAAGGUAAGUCGGGAGCUAAGCUCAGGCCGAGAGGCGUAGGCGAUGCACAUACGGUAGAAAUUCCGUAACCACCGAACAUUUAAGCUAGAGGGACGCUUUCUUUAAGGUUAUCCCGGGCGAUGGUUGCCCCGGGCGUAAGGGACCGAAAUUUAGUAGGGAAGUAACUGGCGAGAGAGACGAGAAAAGCUCUAGUGUAUACUAAGGUGCCCGUACCGCAAACCGACACAGGUAGAUGAGGAGAGUAUUCUAAGGCCAACGGGAGAAGGGUUGUUAAGGAACUCGGCAAAUUGGCCCCGUAACUUCGGGAUAAGGGGCGCCUGCGAGAGCAGGCCGCAGUGAAAAGGCCCAAGCGACUGUUUAGCAAAAACACAGCUCUCUGCUAAAUCGAAAGAUGACGUAUAGGGGGUGACGCCUGCCCGGUGCUGGAAGGUUAAGGGGAGUGCUUAGCGCAAGCGAAGGUGCGAACUUAAGCCCCAGUAAACGGCGGCCGUAACUAUAACGGUCCUAAGGUAGCGAAAUUCCUUGUCAGGUAAGUUCUGACCCGCACGAAUGGCGUAACGAUUUGGGCACUGUCUCAACAGCCCGCCCGGCGAAAUUGUAGUACCGGUGAAGAUGCCGGUUUCCCGCAACUAGACGGAAAGACCCCAUGGAGCUUCACUGUAGCUUGAUAUUGGAUCUCGGUAUUCCAUGUACAGGAUAGGUGGGAGACUUGGAAGUAAGCGCGCCAGCGUUUAUGGAGUCAACCUUGGGAUACCACUCUUGGGAUAUUGGGAUUCUAACCUGCGACCAUGAAUCUGGUCGGGGGACACUGUCAGGUGGGCAGUUUGACUGGGGCGGUCGCCUCCAAAAGAGUAACGG